GAACCCUUGGCGCAGUGGUAGCGCGUGUGAUUCCAGCUACUGGAACCUCCACAAGGUCGUCCGUUCAAUCCGGGCAGGGUUCA
rnacentral:tRNA from 1 species